GACGUAGGGUGCAAGCGUUGUCCGGAAUUAUUGGGCGUAAAGAGUUCGUAGGCGGUUAUUUACGUCUGGUGUUAAAGCCGGGAGCUCAACUCCCGCAUGGCAUUGGAAACUGGAUAGCUAGAGUACGGUAGAGGUCUCGGGAAUUCCAGGUGUAGCGGUGAAAUGCGUAGAUAUCUGGAGGAACACCGGGGGCGAAAGCGCGAGACUGGGCCGUAACUGACGCUGAGGAACGAAAGCCAGGGUAGCCAAAGGG
rnacentral:rRNA from 1 species